CAAAGCAAAGUUUUUCUGAACUAUGUGCUCCUCAAGAGACUUGGAAUUUCUAAAAUUCGAAUACCUGUCUUUGAACUUAGUCCCCUGGAAGUAAAGCAAUGAUUUCUUCCCAUCCUUGGAAGAGUAAGACAGCAUUUAAAUUCUGAAACAAAUUUACACCUUGGUAAUAAGAGAAAAUUUGAUACAAUUGACACAAUUACCUCAUCUCACGCUUUAAUUUAUCCUUAUGAAUGCACGUAGAAAGCUUAGGCUAAAUUUCAUUUCUUUUUGGUUUUGUCAUGCCCCCCAUCUUUUGUGAACUGAGUAAGUUCUUCAUUUUUAUUUUAAUGUAACAGGAAGCACUACGACAACUCCCCCUUCCACUCCCACCACAGGACGUCCAACUUGUAAUGCUCAGACCUGUCCAUAUGGAGCUACGUGCGUCCCUCUAUUCAAUGACACCGUCUGCCAGUGUCCGUAUGGAUUCUACUAUUCACCAAAAAGCUGUGAGCUAGGUAAAGUAUUCCCAGGACAAAUAACUAUAACAAAUAUAACAUAUGACCAGGACAUGGAAAACAAGGAGUCUGUAAAGUAUGGUGAAGUAUACUAUUCUCUUACCAGCCUUGUAAGUUCAUAU
rnacentral:lncRNA from 1 species